UCUCCGUAGGUGAACCUGCGGAGGGAUCAUUAACACGUAUCCAAAACACGUUCAAACCCAAACCGGUCUCAUAUGAUUCCCAUAGAGGGAGGUGACUCGUAAGCCAUAGAUGGAUUCCUUUCCUUCACGGGAGGGGUCUGCUUGCAGUCUAUUCGGUCCUUCGAGACCAGCCGAUUCUCUAUGGCGUACUAAAGCCAUCUGGUUACUAGUGCCACCCCGAUUCCGACUCGGAGCCUAGUAGCCUUAUUAAACCCCCAUUAUUUUAACCCCUUUAUUUUACACAAUAUAAACUGAUUUUUACUUUUUCCUUGACCGAAAGGUUGGAAAAGUGUAUACGAAACGCGAACAACUCUUAGCAAUGGAUAUCUUGGUUCUC
rnacentral:misc_RNA from 1 species